UACGAAGGGGGCUAGCGUUGUUCGGAAUUACUGGGCGUAAAGCGCACGUAGGCGGAUAUUUAAGUCAGGGGUGAAAUCCCGGGGCUCAACCCCGGAACUGCCUUUGAUACUGGGUAUCUAGAGUAUGGUAGAGGUGAGUGGAAUUCCGAGUGUAGAGGUGAAAUUCGUAGAUAGUCGGAGGAACACCAGUGGCGAAGGCGGCUCACUGGCUCAUACUGGACGCUGAGGUGCGAAAGCGUGGGGAGCAAACAGG
rnacentral:rRNA from 1 species